rnacentral:rRNA from 1 species
GUGCUUCUUCUGCGAGUAACGUCAAUUGCUGCGGUUAUUAACCACAACACCUUCCUCCUCGCUGAAAGUACUUUACAACCCGAAGGCCUUCUUCAUACACGCGGCAUGGCUGCAUCAGGCUUGCGCCCAUUGUGCAAUAUUCCCCACUGCUGCCU